rnacentral:lncRNA from 1 species
ACUUUCUUGGCAACCAAACAGAAUCACAACAAGCCAAACCACAAAAAAAUUAAAACUUUCUCCAUUAUUUUUAGUCUACUCAGUUUCAUUGUAAAAAAAAACAAAAACUUUAUUUUUUUUACAACUUUCCCACACUUUCUCGGUGACCAAACACAACCACACCACCAAAUAUAACCACAAAACUUACAGAAAACACCGGGGGCAAUGGUUUCUCAGAUCUAUACUUCACUUCCUUCCUAUUGGUGUUGAAGCAAGGAUCUCCACCUCAUGAUCAGCGUGCGGGAUAGUGGGUUUUCGGGCAGAGGAGUUUUGAUGCAGAGAAGAAAAACGAGAAGGGAAGAGAAGAAAAACGGGAAGGGAAAUGGAAAUGGGGGAAUGGGUUUUCAUAUCUAUCCUACG